rnacentral:pre_miRNA from 1 species
AGAGGGAUAGCUGGGUCAAAUAGUGGUUCCAUUUCCAGUUUUCCAAGGAAUCUCCAUACUGCUUUCUGUAUUGGCUGCACCAUUUGCAGUCCCACCAGCAAU